rnacentral:rRNA from 1 species
ACGAACGCUGGCGGCGUGCCUAAUACAUGCAAGUCGAGCGGACGGAUGGGAGCUUGCUCCCAGACCAUCAGCGGCGGACGGGUGAGUAACACGUGGGCAACCUGCCUGUAAGACUGGGAUAACUCCGGGAAACCGGGGCUAAUACCGGAUAACUCUUUCCCUCACAUGAGGGAAAGCUGAAAGAUGGCAUCUCGCUAUCACUUACAGAUGGGCCCGCGGCGCAUUAGCUAGUUGGUGAGGUAACGGCUCACCAAGGCGACGAUGCGUAGCCGACCUGAGAGGGUGAUCGGCCACACUGGGACUGAGACACGGCCCAGACUCCUACGGGAGGCAGCAGUAGGGAAUCUUCCGCAAUGGACGAAAGUCUGACGGAGCAACGCCGCGUGAGUGAUGAAGGUUUUCGGAUCGUAAAACUCUGUUGUCAGGGAAGAACAAGUACCGGAGUAACUGCCGGUACCUUGACGGUACCUGACCAGAAAGCCACGGCUAACUACGUG